AACGAACGCUGGCGGCAGGCCUAACACAUGCAAGUCGAACGAGAUCUUCGGAUCUAGUGGCGGACGGGUGAGUAACGCGUGGGAACGUACCCUUUGCUUCGGAAUAGCCUCGGGAAACUGGGAGUAAUACCGGAUACGCCCUUCGGGGGAAAGAUUUAUCGGCAAAGGAUCGGCCCGCGUUGGAUUAGGUAGUUGGUGGGGUAACGGCCUACCAAGCCGACGAUCCAUAGCUGGUUUGAGAGGAUGAUCAGCCACACUGGGACUGAGACACGGCCCAGACUCCUACGGGAGGCAGCAGUGGGGAAUCUUAGACAAUGGGGGCAACCCUGAUCUAGCCAUGCCGCGUGAUCGAUGAAGGCCUUAGGGUUGUUAAGAUCUUUCAGCUGGGAAGAUAAUGACUGUACCAGCAGAAGAAGCCCCGGCUAACUCCGUGCCAGCCGCCGCCGUAAUAC
rnacentral:rRNA from 1 species